UUAGAUACAGCUAAGUUUCUGCAGUUCCAGCAGUUCCUGCAAUUCCAGCAGUUACUGCAAUUCUAGCAUUUCCUGAAAUUCCAGCAUUUCCUGAAAUUCCAGCAGUUCCUGCAAGUUCCAGCAGAUCCUGCACUCACAGCAGCAUGGACUUACCUGGUUUCCAAUGCUCUGUACACACUAAUCUGUACUUCUGAACCGAAAGUGAAAAUGCAGUUUCUGAAAAUGCAGUUUCUUGUGCCAUGGUUGCUUACAGAUGGGUGGAGCCAGUGAAAUGGCUUUGCUUUUUUUUUUUUCUGAGAUCCCAUUGACUUCUGCAUUUUCUGUGGAAGAGGAGCUGAAUGAAUUGGGAUCUGGCAAGGCUGCACAGGCACUUGGAGAAGGGAAGAGGCAUGAAGGCUUCCUUGGACACAAAGAGCUUCUGAGGGAGAAGAGGAGAAGCCUGCCCUGACACUGUGGAGGAUCUGGGAGAGAGCCUCCCAAGCAGCCCCAUGGAUUCUCCUCACCUCCUGCUCUUGGGUUUCCUGCUCCUGGCUCUUGCUGCUCCCCAUCCAAGUAUUGCCGUGUCUAAUGCUGGCCCUGCUAAGGGGACACAAGGCAGCACAAUUAUGACAGUCCACUACUGUAAGCACUGUAACGGAUGCACGGCCGAAGAUGGGAGUAUCAAUUUAGAAAACUUCAGCAUAAUCGCUGAAAUACCAAACAAGGCAAAUACUAUUCAAACAGCUGAGUUGGAGACCAACAAGUCACACAUCACUGUUUGCUUUCAGCAAGCAAGUUCCUCUCUUGAAGGAUUUUAUGGCAUCUGGAACAAAACUGCUUCAGCAAAAGUCUGGUGCGGCAUCCUGAAUUCUGGAGAAAAUGGAGGAGGUAACAUCAGUACUGAGGACAAGAAAGUUUGCUGUGAAGCAGAGGCAAUUCCCUGGCAACACAACCCUAACCUGACGUGCUACGUUCAGAAAUCACAUCCAAAACACACUGCACUGCCAAUUGCUCUUCCUGGCAAUCCUGAAUUUCUCACCAGCAAAAAGAACAGCCUUGGCAUCUUGUUGACAUUCCUGUUUCUUGGGGUUUGUGCAGGAUGGGGCACCAUGUUUUACUUCUUGCGGCUGCGGCGUCGCCAAGCUUCUAAGCAAGAGAGACAGGCUUCUGACAGAGAAAAGCUCACACAUCCUUGAUAACCACCUACAAGGGAGAAAACCCCUCUGCCAGCAGCAUACUUCUCCUUGCUCAUGAUGUACAGCAAACAGCUGAACACAGACUGAUUUUCCAUGGGAACUCCUGCCCUUGUAUUCCCAAAUAGUCCUGUUUUCACAAAAGUACCUUCGCCACAUCCACACACACAAAAGUACCACACCACAUCCCCUGACUCUUGUCCAGCUCCAGGCCUGUGUGAGCAGCACAAGCAGCACCAGGAGCACCCAUCCUCUCCUUGGCUUGGCUGCAGACAGCAGGCACCCCAGGGUGUGUGACUGACUCAGCAGCACUGAAACCAGCUGAAUUCCCUCUGUGACAAAGUGGGAACAGCUCUGAAAUGCUUCCCAUGCCCUCUGCAUGGCUUUCACUUGGUAAUGCCACAGCAGCACCCAGGUGUCUGUAUUGUUUGAAUUUUCAGGUCAUCUCUGCAUCCACCAAAGCCUUUUGCACCACAAGCUGGCUGGUAGGUUGAAUUGGAAGAGUUUGGAAGAGAUAUUUGAUUUUGCCCCCACCUGCAGGCUGAGGACAUCUCUGAGUGUUUGUUCCAGUGCAGGGGUGGGUGGGAGGCUGUGUCCAGCUCCCUCAGGAAUGGCAUUGGGUCACAGAGGCCUUGUUCACCCCAGGCUGAGCAGAACUCUGGUAUCAAUCCUCCUGACAAAUGAGGCAAGUUUAGACAGUGUGAGAUGAGUACAGCCCCUCAGGAAUCCCACUGGGCACUUGGUAUCCUUAAAUCAUUCCUCAUUCCCACCUGAUUUGAAUAAAUCCUCAGCUUUUGCAUUGGUUCUAAUUUACAAUCAGGACUGUUGAGCAAAAAUCAGUGGCAGCACAAGGGGAGAAGCAAAUCCCUAAAGCAAUGUGAAUGCUUGUUGAAUCACUGUUCUUUUGUCACACAAGCACACACACAGUUCUUGUUUCAUUUCUGCUUUGAUUGGCUGGAUUUUGUUUCUUGCUUGUUUUUUCCUCAAUGUGUCUUAACCAUCCAGUCAGCAGCAGAGUGAACCUUGCCAACAAACUCUCUUGUGCUGGUGCUCAAUAUCAAAUCUGCAUUUUACUGAUCCCCUUGGUGGUAAUGUUUUGAGAUCUCCAACACUUUGAACAGGCGUUUCCCAUUUGAUUUGAUCCCUCUGUUCCUUGCUAUCCAUUGUAAAAAUGCUUCUUGCUCAGUUUCUUUGGUUAUUGGGGUCGUUGGAGAGCUCUGAGGAUCUCAUUAUACAUUUGUAUGCCUUUGUUUCUCACUGUAGACUGGACUUAUACCUUCUGCAAUCCUCUUUCAGAGAAUCUGUAUUAUCCAGUUUGUUGAUGUUAUUAAUGCUUUUUCCUUGAUGUUAUUAAAUG